GAUGAACGCUGGCGGCGUGCCUAAUACAUGCAAGUAGAACGCUGAAGGAAGGAGCUUGCUCUUUCCGGAUGAGUUGCGAACGGGUGAGUAACGCGUAGGUAACCUGCCUGGUAGCGGGGGAUAACUAUUGGAAACGAUAGCUAAUACCGCAUAACAGUAGAUGUUGCAUGACAACUAUUUGAAAGGGGCAAUUGCUCCACUACCAGAUGGACCUGCGUUGUAUUAGCUAGUUGGUGAGGUAACGGCUCACCAAGGCGACGAUACAUAGCCGACCUGAGGGGGUGAUCGGCCACACUGGGACUGGGGCACGGGCCAGACUCCUACGGGAGGCAGCAGUAGGGGAUCUUCGGCAAUGGACGGAAGUCUGACCGAGCAACGCCGCGUGAGUGAAGAAGGUUUUCGGAUCGUAAAGCUCUGUUGUAAGAGAAGAACGAGAGUGAGAGUGAAAAGUUCACACUGUGACGGUAUCUUACCAGAAAGGGACGGCUAACUACGUG
rnacentral:rRNA from 1 species